AGUGGAAGCCACGGAAUCAAUACCUUCGAAACCAAAGAAAUCUAAAAAUCCCUGAGCCUGGGAGAUCCUGAAAAGAAGGCAGCAGAGCAGCUUUUUGGGAGCACAGCUCAAGGAGAAGGAAUUCUGUCUCCAGGGCCAUCCCUGGUUGUUCUUCAGUGGGUGUGAGCAGAUGCUGCCCAGGUUGCCACUGCAGAGCCUUCAGCUGAUGAGCUGCUUUCUGGCCCACUGGAAAUCAAUCACACUGGAAUCCUUGGGAGCAAAUCAUCGGAUGGAACGUGGGAAAACUGGUCUUUGUUGGGAUGUGGAGAGAGUUUGGGGAGAACAAUAGUGUUUAUUUACAGAUAACUGCCAAGAUUGGCUGUUUGGUUCCAUAUUAGCCCUGCCAAGUGUCGGUGUUUGGAGGGAUAAGGAUGUGGGUGAACUGUGCUGGAGUGGGAGAUGGCUCUGCUUUGGGCUCUAUCCAGCGGGAUGCUGCCUUACCCAACAAUCAAGGUAGGAAGUCACAGGAAAUCCCUGGGGUGGGUAUGUGCUGGCUGGAAUCUCCAGGAAGGAGGAGCACGGAGUCCACACUUUAUUUCCAUAGGAAAUAAGAAUUCCCAUAUAAAGGUUUGGCAGGGAGAACUGCACACACACCUGGCCAUAAAUUUAAUCCCAUCAGAUGAAGUUGGUUUUUUGUUUUAAUUUACAAAUAUUUGCCUUUUUUCUUCUCUUUCCUUUCUUUCUUUCUUUUUUCUCUUUUCUCACUUAAAAAGUUUUCUUUGAGAAAGAUUUGUUUAACUCUGCUCAAAGCUCUCCAGAUACUUGAUAUCCUGACACUUUUGUGAUAUUCUAGAACUCCAUUAAACUGUUUCAUUUUAUUCCUGCAAGCCCAAGUGUGCAAAGCAAAAUCCUUGGUUGGGGAUUUAUCCCCCCUUUCCCCAGUAUUGUGGGUUAACACAAAAGCCACAACUGAGCUCUGCAUCUGCCAAUUAUUGAAAGAUAAAAUAGCAAUUAGAGGGGGUGAAGAAGAAGGAUGACAAACCUUUGACAUAUUAUCGUUCUUCCUGCUGGGAGAUGAUUAUCCAAAGGGAGCUGGAGCUGUGGGAAGCCACCCAGCCAUCCUUCAAAAUGGGAAUUUUGUCACUCACUGCGGAUUCCAUUCCUUUCCUGGGCUGGGAUAAUUCAUUUAUUUCAAUUAAUGGGCGCACUUGAGCUGACAAGAUAUUCACUUGUUUCUUUAGUUUUUGCAUUUUACUGUAUUUUAGUGUCUGUGACUUGUCUCAGCAUUGAUAUUUCUGGUCAUGACGUGUCUCCUGUGACAAGGAAGGUCACACAACUGGAGAUGCAUCAUCCAUCCUUCAGGGCACUGAGAGGUUCUCAGCCCUGCUUCUCUGUCCCACUGCUGCUUGUCUGCCCAUCUGGAACACCCAAUUAACACCUGGGCUAAUUAACAGUGCUGGGGGGGCCUCUUCUAUUACCUGUUAUUGGUUUCAGCAGGGAUAAAUCACACUGAACACCACAGGAAUUGUGCCAUGCGGGAGAACAUAAAAAAAUGCACUUGUAGAUUUAAAUAUUCGUAAAAUUUUUAAGAGAAGAUUUUGUAUAGUGAAUAAAACUGAUAUUUUACUUCUUCUUUGUAGACCACUAACAGGGCAGGCACUGUGUACCUUGGGCUCAGUGCAGGGACAGUAUCAGCUCAUGGAGAAAUAGCUGAUUGGUAUUUUUUUUAAGUUUGGUUGUUUGCUGGUUUUGACAGUGGAGUUUGGCCUUUUGAAACUGUCCAUUUGAAAGGUAUUGGUCUGUACAAAACUGCAGAUGAAAGGUUGGGUGCAAUUAUUCCCCAUGGAUUAUCUCAGGGCAAAACACUUGGUCAUUGAAGUCAUGGAUCCACAAACUCUUUGUAUGAUCACAAACAGCAUUACUGGUUUUUCAAAUCAGCUCCUAAAGCUGAAAAUAUAUGAUUUAAUUCCUGUAUUAUUUCCACUUUCAUGCAGGAUCAGGUUUCCCCUUGUUGAAGAAUAUUUCUUUUCAAUUUAGGUAAUUUUUUUAUAGAAAAAAAAAUUCCUUGUGCUGGGAGCUGCUUUAUAGAAGGAAAAUUGCCUUUCUCCUCAUCAAUUUUUCCAAGCCUUUUGCAAAGAUGAAUUGGGGACUGUAUUUAACUAAUCACAUGUUAUUCCAGUUUUGUAGAGUAAAUACACAGACUGGCAGUGGGACUUGAGAAGUCGCCACAGUUUCAGGGUUUCUGAAAUCAUCUUGAAAAAAAAGAAAUUGAAAUUAUUUCGUGUUUCCCACCCUGUGUUGCUUUGAAUGCAAAAUCUUGGUAGGGCAAGAGGUAAUAUAUUGAUUUUCAGGGAAUUCCAAUCAGAGAUUGUUGAGGUUUGGGUGUUUAGCAAUCUGUCUGACUGUGCCCUCAGUGGUGUUUGGACUAAAGGAUCCUCCUACCUCAUCUUUUCCAGCUGUCCCUGAAUUAUCAUCAGGAAGAAGGUACAGAACUGCAGAUGUCCAGACUGUGAGUUGGUCACAUGUAUCAUCUGCAUGCUCCUGAUCAGCCAAAAAUUAUGAAAAGCAAGAAGUGACCUGGAAAUUCAGUGGCUCAGGUUCCAAUGGCACAGACGUGACCCCAGCGUGUGUGGCUGCAAGUGAGCAGCUUCCCCUUAGUGAGGACCUGCCAGGAUGAGGAUUUGAAGGUCUUGCUGCAGUUCAGACUCUCUCAUAAAGCAAUUUUCUAUUUUGACAACUUUGAAAAAUGACGCAGUUUUGCAUAGUCAACAUUUGGAGAGCUAAUCCAGUGGUUUUUAACGAAGGCAGGUGAUUGUUUCUCUUUUUUAAACCCAAAUGAGGUGAGAUGUGAGUAACUUUGGUGCUAAAUUAACUGUAGAUGGUUUCUGCCUUUUUUACAGUGGCUGAAGAGCCGAUUUCUCUUGUAGCUGAUUCUGGCAGGUUUGUUCCACUUAAUGGUAAAAAGGUCAAUUGCAUGAGAAUAAAAAGGAAGAAAAAAAUCUAAAAUGGCAUCUUUGAACUAGACAGGCAGUGAAAUUAAAAUUCUAAAUGGUUGAUAGGAGGCUUGGAAUGCCCCCUGAAUAGAAGACUAAACACAGUCGCCUCCUUUAUGGAAGAAUCUUUUGUUGAAGGUUGGCUUUUCUAUCUUUUUGCUGAAUUUCCAUCAGCUAUUUCAUUGUCUAAUUACUGCCAGUAAAAGUUAUUUAUUUCUUUUGUCUAACAGCCAUUUCUGCAAGUUCUGUGCCCGCCUUGACCACAGAAAAACCUCUUUUCUUCAUUUCAUUGCUUAUAUUAUAAAACACACUUUGUGUCUAAUCCUUGUUUCCUUUACAUCUCGAUUUUAGCAAUAAAUAUUGCCUGAAAGUUUAGAUCUAAUUACUGAAAUCACUUGGGAAUCUCCUACGUACAGAAAGAUGAUCAAAACUCUGAUUUUUAUUUAUAGUCUCAGUUCUAAUUAAUGAACAUCUUUGUCUGAGCAAAAUUAUCCCCUUUCUGAUAUUUUUUUUUCCAUGCUUUAUAGUUUGGGAUCAUCUCCAUGUUUCAUCAAUAUCCAGUUGGAUUUUUUCCUCCAGUUCAUUAAUAAAGAUAUUAAAUUGCACCAGCCAACAUAACAACAAACAUUGCUGGAUCUGUUCUUUCCUCUUGAGGUCUACACCCUUUGUUUCCUUUACAGUUAAACAUUUUCCACGUUGAUCAGGUAUUGUCUUGCCAGGUUCCUUACUUAAAAAUUUCCUGGGUAUGAAAUUUUAGUCCAGUUAAAAGCAUCUUUCUCCUCCUUCUUUCCCCUUUGCCCCAUGGAGUGAAUUUUUUUCCUCAUUUGUAUUUUUUGCAAAAUAAUUCAGUUUCAUCAAAAUGUUGAGUCUCUGCCAAACCCGAGAGGGACUUUAACUGGAACACAGCGGGGUUAGAGGUGGAAGUAUCCAUGGAAACAAACUUCCCUGCAGAUGUUCAGAUAUUCCUCGGGCAUCCCAAGCACGGGUAGAACGUGGGGCUGGUUCUGUCUUUGAAGGUUCACACCUGACCAGCACAGCCUGAGCUCUGUUUAAUGUCAGAUCCCAGCUCCAACAGGUAUUUCAGAGUAAUUGGGCUGAAAUAAUGGAUCCACUUCCCUGGUAUUGUCUUUGUAGGGAAAAGACUACAUUUUCUCAGUGUUUCUUCUCUCAAGUUGCAUCCUUAGCUCCAUUCUCUCCCAUUUUGCUCUGCUUUUUAAGCAGCUCUGUUGAAUCCUUGCCUUAACCUUUAUAUCAUUCCCCUCUCCUUGCACCUGAGCUAAUCCACAGCCAGGACUGCAGCCAAACCCUGCCUGCCUGGCUCAGCCAAGCAGUUCCAGUCAGGAAUAUCAUCCAUGGGAUUGGAUGGACGAACAUAGGAGAAGUAACCAGAAUGCACCAGCUCAACACCCUUCUCCCAAUCCAGCCCUCAGGCCCUGGACAUUGAGCUGGUCAAACAAACGGGCUCAGCUGGAUGUUGGGAAUGAAAGACAUCCCUGGACUUGGGUGAGAUCAAAGGAAAUGUCGACCAUGAGCUGCCAGGGAGUGCUGCACCUUCCCAACCGCUCAGGAAAUGGGGGGAAUUCCCUCCAGGAUGAACCAGGCUGGGAAUCGAGAUGGGAGUGAAACAACCCAUAUUUGAAAUUACUGCUGUAAAACAUCCCUGCCUGGAAUUCCAGUUUGGUCCAACGAGCAGGAAGGUGAUUCAGCUCUUUGCUUAUUGGACUUUGUCAGCUUUCCAUGGCUGAAGCAGAAUCUGAUGGAAUGACACAACUGUAAGUCACUAAUUCCUAUCCAAGGGGCUUCCUUGGCA